UGUGACUGGAUACAGGCGCACAGUUCUGACAAGCAAACUGUGAUUGUAGAGCUGGUGGUCUAGGGCAUUUGUCAGCAGGUGAAGUAAUGCCAGAGGGGGGUGGCCAUGAGGUAGUGGCCUGGGUGAGUCCAGUGGAGAAUUGUUCCAAGGAAUCCAAGGCAGAGGUGCAGGGAGGAAGGCAGGUGAAGCUAAAGAGCAUGCAAAGCAAUGUUACCAGCUGUGAGUGAGCAGAGGAGACCAGCAUCCAGGAGUGAGAGGUUAUGGCAAGGUUUGGUGGGAAUCCUGGGAGAUACAAUGAAGGCUCCACCCAGAGGAGGAGAGCAGGCACUGUGGAAAACCCACAGCCAAAAGAAGUCAAGAAACUCUUAAAAAACCCCAAAACAAUAUAACACAAAGUCAGUUAAACUUCAAUCUGUCGUUCUGUCUG